rnacentral:tmRNA from 1 species
GGGGCUGAAAAGGUUUCGACAGGCACCAAAGAAUGUUUUGACCGGCGUUUCUUAAAAAAAAUAGUUGACGAAAGUUACGAAAAUUACGCACUAGCUGCGUAACCGACCUUGUGGUAAUGGUUUUCAAUUCACCAGCUACAGGGAAUAAGUAAUUGAUAUUCGUGAAAUACAGACAACCACGAAGAGAAUACAAAAGUUUCUGUUGGAGAUUGAACAGUUCUUCAUAAUAAAAAGUUUCUUAGGUCAUUAGGUUCGGUAGCUUGGACGGCGGUUCAAAUCCGCCCAGUUCCAUCA